AGCGGCUUCGCCAAGCGGUAAGGCAACGGACUCUGACCCCGUUAUUCACAGGUUCGAUCCCUGUAGCCGCUGCCA
rnacentral:tRNA from 1 species